rnacentral:rRNA from 1 species
AUACGGAGGGUGCAAGCGUUAUUCGGAAUCACUGGGCGUAAAGGACGCGUAGGCGGGUUGGCAAGUCAGAUGUGAAAUCCUACAGCUUAACUGUAGAACUGCAUUUGAAACUGCUAACCUAGAGUAUGGGAGGGGGAGAUGGAAUUAGUGGUGUAGGGGUAAAAUCCGUAGAUAUCACUAGGAAUACCGAAAGCGUAGGCGAUCUCCUGGAACAUAACUGACGCUAAGGCGUGAAAGCGUGGGGAGCAAACAGGAUUAGAAACCCCAGUAGUCC